UACGUAGAGGGCAAGCGUUGUCCGGAAUCAUUGGGCGUAAAGCGCGUGUAGGCGGCUCGGUAAGUCUGCUGUGAAAGUCCAGGGCUCAACCCUGGGAUGCCGGUGGAUACUGUCGAGCUCGAGUCCGGAAGAGGCGAGUGGAAUUCCUGGUGUAGCGGUGAAAUGCGCAGAUAUCAGGAGGAACACCAAUGGCGAAGGCAGCUCGCUGGGACGUGACUGACGCUGAGACGCGAAAGCGUGGGGAGCAAACAGG
rnacentral:rRNA from 1 species